rnacentral:lncRNA from 1 species
UUGUUAGCGGAAACGUAAAAGAAAGAACACAAGAUUUAACGUGGUUCGGAUCAAAAUAAUCCUACGUCCACCAGAGAACAAUUGCCCUUUUAAUAUUAACAAAGGAAGGGGAGAUUUCCCAAUUACACUUAAGAGAAUUUCUCUCUUAACUCUCUACUCACUACAAUGUAUUGUAUUAUUUUGGGAUGAUUUCUACAAGUGAAGGAGUACAUCUAUUUAUAGAGGUAAAGACCUCCUCUUGAUGUCAUUGGUGACAUCAAACUACCUCCUCUUGAUGUCAUGGGUGACAUCUAUUUAUAGAGGUAAAGACCUCCUCUUGAUGUCAUUGGUGACAUCAAACUACCUCCUCUUGAUGUCAUGGGUGACAUCAAAGGAGGAAGCUUCCUCCUAGCAUCCACACCAACUCUUUCCAACAACUCUUCCAAUUGGCAUGCCAUUGUUAACUAAACAUAAACCAACAUUUUCAAUCUCCACCUUGGUUUGCGUUUCGAGCGUGUGAACAACUCUGGCCAAAACUUCUAAGCUUACUGGGCAACCCCGUUGUAAGAAACAAGAAGAAUCAAACCAUUGUUGAACAUACCACCUCCACCUAGCAACUGUUCUCUUCGGAGUUGCAUCAGUUGAUGCACANNNN